UACGUAGGGUGCGAGCGUUUAAUCGGAAUUACUGGGCGUAAAGCGUGCGCAGGCGGCGCGUUAAGACAGGUGUGAAAGCCCCGAGCUUAACUUGGGAAUUGCGCUUGUGACUGGCGUGCUGGAGUGUGGCAGAGGGGAGGUGGAAUUCCACGUGUAGCAGUGAAAUGCGUAGAGAUGAUGGAGGAACACCGAUGGCGAAGGCAGCCUCCUGGGCCAGCACUGACGCUCAUGCCACG
rnacentral:rRNA from 1 species